UAGUACAAAAACAAAGUGGGAAAGAUACGAAGCAAAAAGAAAGAGAGAGAGAGAGAGAGAAAGAGAAAGAGAGAAAUAUAUUCAAAGAGUAAGAGAGAAAUAUGGGAAAAGAGAGACAGGAAGAGAGAGAGAAAGACGAUUAGAGAGAGAGAGAGAAAUCGGGAGAGAGAGAGCGAAUGAUAUGGUGUAUGAAGAUUUUUCUACCAAUGACAUCAUCGGCCUUUCUUCUUCAACC
rnacentral:ribozyme from 1 species